rnacentral:rRNA from 1 species
AUAUGGCUCAGGAUGAACGCUAGCGGCAGGCUUAACACAUGCAAGUCGAGGGGCAUCGGGAGUAGCAAUACUGCCGGCGACCGGCGCAAGGGUGCGUAACGCGUGAGCAACAUGCCCGUAUCAGGGGGGAUAAUCCAUGGAAACGUGGUCUAAUACCCCAUAGUAAUUAUGUAAGGCAUCUUAUAUAAUUUAAAGCUUUGGUGGAUACGGAUUGGCUCGCGUGACAUUAGCUGGAUGGUAAGGUAACGGCUUACCAUGGCUACGAUGUCUAGGGGUUCUGAGAGGAAGGUCCCCCCACACUGGAACUGAGACACGGUCCAGACUCCUACGGGAGGCAGCAGUGAGGAAUAUUGGACAAUGGAUGGAAAUCUGAUCCAGCCAUGCCGCGUGCAAGGGAAGACGGCCCUAUGGGUUGUAAACUGCUUUUGUAUGGGAGCAAUAAGGGCUACGUGUAGUCCGAUGAGAGUACCAUACGAAUAAGCACCGGCUAACUCCGUGCCAGCCGCGGC